GACGUAGGGCGCGAGCGUUGUCCGGAAUUAUUGGGCGUAAAGAGCUCGUAGGCGGCUUGUCGCGUCGACUGUGAAAACCCGUGGCUCAACCAUGUGGUCUGCAGUCGAUACGGGCAGGCUAGAAUUCGGUAGGGGAGACUGGAAUUCCUGGUGUAGCGGUGAAAUGCGCAGAUAUCAGGAGGAACACCGGUGGCGAAGGCGGGUCUCUGGGCCGAUAUUGACGCUGAGGAGCGAAAGCGUGGGGAGCGAACAGG
rnacentral:rRNA from 1 species